rnacentral:rRNA from 1 species
GCUAACGGCGGGCCGGCAGCGGCGUGAAUGCGUAGGGGGCUGGCGUUGUGCUGAUUUAUUGGCCGGAAGGAGCGUGUGGGCGGCCAGGUAGGUCGGCUGUGAAAACUCGAGGCUCAACCGCGAGACGUCGGCGGAAACCAGCUGGCUAGAGUCCGGAAGAGGAGAGUGGAAUUCCUGGUGUAGCGGUGAAAUGCGCAGAUAUCAGGAAGAACACCCGUGGCGAAGGCGGCUCUCUGGGACGGUACUGACGCUGAGACGCGAAAGCGUGGGGAGCGAACAGGAUUAGAUACCCCAGUAGUC